UCGAUUCGAAACCAAGAGGUAUUGAGUUCAAUCAUCGCCAGUGGAAUUUAUAUGUCCCUUUAUUUCACUUUAUUUUCUAUUAUUGUACUAGGCCCGUAUACCUCCCUUAUAACGGAAGAGGAAAGGACUAAAAAAAAAUAAGACAGAAAAGAGCUUCACCAGGCAUUGUUUUCACAUACGACUGUUGAACCCUUGGUUUAUUUUUCAGUCUAUCCAUUCAUUGUUCUCGUUAGGACUAUAUGAUCAAGGACCAUGAGCAGUCCCCAGCUGUGAUUAAGGACCAUCUGGUUGCUAACACUCAAUUGUAUCUGGAUCUAGGAAUCGUUGAUGCCUCAAUCUCAAAACUCUAUAUUGGUCCAGCAGUACGGAGAAAUGCGCAGUCCGCACCAUUAAAAAACCUCAACCCCUGCUGGGAAAACAUCGCUGCAUAAUGAGCGCGAGUGGGAAAACGGUCAGACUGGAGAUCAAUCUAGCUUAUCAGUCGGCAUGUCUAUAUAUAGUAUGAGGCUCAAGAGGGCACCAGAAGAGGGAUGCAAGCAAGCAGAUGAAAUGAGAAUGGCUGACAGGGAGGGACUCAAGCAUGAUACGGUUUGCAUAUAUGCAGGGAUUGCUCUCUUCUCAAGGACAGCAUUCCUGCAAGGGAUGAAGCCACCUAUCUUCCUUGUCUACAGGCAGGCCAUUUCCAUUAUGAUCAUCGCACCUCUUGCCAUUUAUAAUAGGAGGAGGAAUUUAUUGAGCUUGUGCUUGGGGUUGAAGACCUCCGGAAUGAUAUUUGCAGCCGCCUUUUUUGGGACCGCAGCCAAUAUGAACUUGUAUUUCGAAGGCUUGUACUUGUCCUCGGCUGCCAUAGCCACUGCCAUGGUCAAUCUGGUUCCUGUGGUAACCCUUGUGAUGGCAACUGCAAUGGGACAGGAGAAGGUUGGUUUCCUGAGCAUGAGAAGUAUGGCAAAGAUUCUAGGGACACUGGUAAGUGUCUGUGGAGCUGUUUCAAUGGCACUCCUGAAAGGCCCAAAGCUGCUGAACGAUAGAGACUACGUGGAUGAGAAUGUCUUUGUUGGGACUGCCAGCACAGAAUUGGGUACUAGGUUGUCUGUUGGUUUUCGGAAGCAGCUGCUGCUGAUACCAACAUCAACGAACUGUACAGAUCACUUGUAUACAACUGCCUGGACGUGUUUCUUCAGGAUGCUACAAUCAACCAUUUUUGCACUUUUCUCGGAGAGGGAAUGGGAAGCUUGGAGGAUAAACACAGCUCUUGAACUCGGUGCUUGCUUGUUCACGGCGUGGGAGCAGCGCUCACGUUUUUCCGUCAAACCUGGUGCAUUUCACAGAGGGGGCCUGUGCUCUCAGCAAUGUUCAGCCCUCUAAACACCGUCCUGGCAACCAAUUUCGCAUCCAUAUUUCUCCACGAAGAGAUAAACAUCGGAAGACAGAGUACAUAUAAAUGUAACACUGACAACAAACUCAAGUUUUGGCCAUGGGUGCGAAUUUGAUCAGCUUGUUGGGCGCCGGGGCAGUCAUCAUUGGGCUAUAUAUCAGCAUGUGGUGAUGUUCCCGUCUGAAGCAAUGACCAUCAUCAAAUCCCUGCAGAUGGAUCAUCCAAGAAGACAAAGAAGAAAACUCUGUCUACGGACCUGCAAGAACCACUCUUGCAUCACACCACAUCAAAUCCUGAAGAGCCUUAAGCUUCAUGCCUCUGUUUUAUUAAGUCUAUUAUUCAUUGGACAUAACUUUCGUUUGACCGCCAUAUAUUAUAUCGGCCUUGUUAUGUCAAGUGUAAUAGCAUGUAACGGAAAGGACUUGGGGUCGCACUGGUUCAACCCAUAAUCAGGAGGAGAUGUCAAUAUAUUAGAUUAUGAGAAAA